GGAUGUUCUUGGCUCAGCAUACAGUAUCACCACAUAUGGAAAACAUAAAUGGUCACAAAAGCUUCUUGAUUUAAAAGGAACUGAGCACCCUUGACUCUCACUGAUGGCAAGGCGUGAAGCACCCUUGAAAAUCAGAGUACUGGAUGAUGUAUAAGCAGGGGAAUGAAAACACGCUGGAGCCGUGGCAUGUUGAUCUCAUCUGUGUUGCUGAGGUCACCAGGGCAGAUCUACAGAAGGAGUGUCCAGUCUGACGUCAGCCCACUCUUACUGAAAUCGUAACAAGACCUUCCACAUUACUCCUCUUCUGCUGCAGACCAAGGGCAACAGGGUGUGCAUCCUUUAGAGAGCUG